ACGAACGCUGGCGGCGUGCUUAACACAUGCCAGUCGCACGGAAAGGCCCUGCUUUUGUGGGGUGCUCGAGUGGCGAACGGGUGAGUAACACGUGAGUAACCUGCCCUUGACUUUGGGAUAACUUCAGGAAACUGGGGCUAAUACCGGAUAGGAGCUCCUGCUGCAUGGUGGGGGUUGGAAAGUUUCGGCGGUUGGGGAUGGACUCGCGGCUUAUCAGCUUGUUGGUGGGGUAGUGGCUUACCAAGGCUUUGACGGGUAGCCGGCCUGAGAGGGUGACCGGCCACAUUGGGGCUGAGAUACGGCCCAGACUCCUACGGGAGGCAGCAGUGGGGAAUAUUGCACAAUGGGCGGGAGCCUGAUGCAGCAACGCCGCGUGCGGGAUGACGGCCUUCGGGUUGUAAACCGCUUUCGCCUGUGACGAAGCGUGAGUGACGGUAAUGGGUAAAGAAGCACCGACUAACUACGUG
rnacentral:rRNA from 1 species